rnacentral:rRNA from 1 species
AGAGUUUGAUCCUGGCUCAGGAUGAACGCUGGCGGCGUGCCUAACACAUGCAAGUCGAGCGCGAUUAAAUGAAGUGGAGAGCUUGCUCAAAGUGACAUUUAUGAAAGCGGCGGACGGGUGAGUAACGCGUGGGCAACCUGCCCUGUGCAGAGGGAUAGCCACUGGAAACGGUGAUUAAUACCUCAUGGAGCUAUUGAACCGCAUGGUUUAAUGGUGAAAGUUCCGGCGGCACAGGAUGGGCCCGCGUCUGAUUAGCUAGUUGGUGAGGUAACGGCUCACCAAGGCGACGAUCAGUAGCCGACCUGAGAGGGUGAACGGCCACACUGGAACUGAGACACGGUCCAGACUCCUACGGGAGGCAGCAGUGGGGAAUAUUGCACAAUGGGCGCAAGCCUGAUGCAGCAACGCCGCGUGAGUGAAGAAGGCUUUCGGGUCGUAAAGCUCUGUCCUAGGGGAAGAAUAAAUGACGGUACCCUGGGAGGAAGCCCCGGCUAACUACGUGCCAGCAGCCGCGGUAAUACGUAGGGGGCAAGCGUUAUCCGGAAUCACUGGGCGUAAAGGGUGCGUAGGUGGUUUCUUAAGCUGGAUGUGAAAGCCCCGGGCUUAACCUGGGAACUGCAUUCAGGACUGGGAAACUCGAGUCUGGGAGAGGGUGGUGGAAUUUCCGGUGUAGCGGUGAAAUGCGUAGAUAUCGGAAGGAACAUCAGUGGCGAAGGCGACCGCCUGGCCUAAGACUGACACUGAGGCACGAAAGCGUGGGGAGCAAACAGGAUUAGAUACCCUGGUAGUCC